rnacentral:rRNA from 1 species
GACGAACGCUGGCGGCGUGCCUAACACAUGCAUGUCGAACGGAAAGGCCCUGCUCUUGUGUGGUGCUUGUGUGGCGAACGUGUGAGUAACACGUGGGUAACCUUCCCCUGACUUCGGGAUAACUUCAGUAAACUGCGGCUAAUACCGGUUAGUAGCUCCUGCUGCAUGGUGGGGGUUGUAAAGUUUCGGCGGUUGUGGAUGUACUCGCGGCUUAUCAGCUUGUUGGUCGGGUAGUGGCUUACCAAGGCUUUGACGGGUAGUCGGCCUGAGAGGGUGACCGGACACAUUGCGACUGAGAGACGAACCAGACUCGUACGGGAGGCAGCAGGAGAGAAUAUUGCAGAAUGGGGGGGAGCGUGAUGCAGGGACACCGCGUGCGGGAUGAGGGCAUACGGGUUGUAAACCGCGGUCGCGAGAGACGAAGCGUGAGUGACGUUAAUGGGUAAAGAAGCACAGGAUAACUACGAG